GACGAACGCUGGCGGCGUGCUUAACACAUGCAAGUCGAACGGAAGGCCCUUCGGGGUACACGAGUGGCGAACGGGUGAGUAACCCGUGGGGGCUCUGCCCUGCACGUCGGGAUAAGCCUGGGAACCUGGGUCUAAUACCGGAUAGGACCACUGCCUGCAUGGGUGGCGGUGGAAAGCUUUUGCGGUGUGGGAUGGGCCCGCGGCCUAUCAGCUUGUUGGUGGGGUGAUGGCCUCCCAAGGCGACGACGGGUAGCCGGCCUGAGAGGGUGGCCAGCCACACUGUGACUGAGAUACGGCCCAGACUCCUACGGGAGGCAGCAGUGGGGAAUAUUGCACAAUGGGCGCAAGCCUGAUGCAGCGACGCCGCGUGAGGGAUGACGGCCUUCGGGUUGUAAACCUCUUUCAGCACCGACGAAGCGCAAGUGACGGUAGGUGCAGAAGAAGGACCGGCCAACUACGUGCCAGCAGCCGCAGUAACAC
rnacentral:rRNA from 1 species